rnacentral:rRNA from 1 species
GUUAUAGGGUCAAGCAAUGAAGCGCACACGGUGGAUGCCUAGGCAGCCAGAGGCGAUGAAAGACGUGGUAGCCUGCGAUAAGGUUCGGUGAGGUGGCAACAACCUGUGACCCGGACAUCUCUGAAUGGGGAAACCCACUCAUCAUAAGAUGAGUAUCGUGCACUGAAUACAUAGGUGUACGAGGCGAACCAGGGGAACUGAAACAUCUAAGUACCCUGAGGA